GACGAACGCUGGCGGCGCGCCUAACACAUGCAAGUCGAACGGGGUCCUUUUAGGAAGCUUGCUUCUUGGCUGGACCUAGUGGCGGACGGGUGAGUAACACGUGAGCAACCUGCCCUGGAGUGGGGGAUAACGUUUGGAAACGAACGCUAAUACCGCAUAACAUCCCGGUGUGGCAUCGCACUGGGAUCAAAGGAUUUAUUCGCUUUGGGAUGGGCUCGCGCCCGAGUAGAUAGUUGGUGAGGUAAUGGCUCACCAAGUCUGCGAUCGGUAGCCGGACUGAGAGGUUGAUCGGCCACAUUGGGACUGAGACACGGCCCAGACUCCUACGGGAGGCAGCAGUGGGGGAUAUUGCACAAUGGGGGAAACCCUGAUGCAGCGACGCCGCGUGAGUGAAGACGGCCUUCGGGUUGUAAAGCUCUGUUGAGGGGGACGAUAAUGACGGUACCCCUUUAGAAAGCCACGGCUAACUACGUGCCAGCAGCCGCCGUAAAAC
rnacentral:rRNA from 1 species